rnacentral:misc_RNA from 1 species
GCAAACUUGGUCAUUUAGAGGAAGUAAAAGUCGUAACAAGGUCUCCGUUGGUGAACCAGCGGAGGGAUCAUUACAGAGAGUGAAAACUCCCUUAAACCCACUGUUAAUCUACCUGUUUUGUUGCUUCGGCAGGCGGCCCCAGGGGGGGUCGUAGCCCGCGAGGGCGCCUGCCGGAGGUACCUAAACUCUGUUAUAUACUGUCGUCUGAGUCCACUAAAGAAUAAGUUAAAACUUUCAACAACGGAUCUCUUGGUUCUGGCAUCGAUGAAGAACGCAGC